rnacentral:tRNA from 1 species
GCGGGUAUAGUUUAGUGGUAUGACAUGUCCUUGCCAAGGAUAAGACGGGAGUUCGAUUCUCCCUACCCGCA